GAUGAACGCUGGCGGUAUGCUUAACACAUGCAAGUCGAACGGACUCUUCGGAGUUAGUGGCGGACGGGUGAGUAACGCGUGAGAAUCUGGCUUUGGGUUCGGGACAACCACUGGAAACGGUGGCUAAUACCGGAUGUGCCGAGAGGUAAAAGAGAAAUUGCCUGAAGAUGAGCCCGCGUCUGAUUAGCUAGUUGGUGAGGUAAAGGCUCACCAAGGCAGCGAUCAGUAGCUGGUCUGAGAGGAUGACCAGCCACACUGGGACUGAGACACGGCCCAGACCCCUACGGGAGGCAGCAGUGGGGAAUUUUCCGCAAUGGGCGAAAGCCUGACGGAGCAAUACCGCGUGAGGGAAGAAGGCUCUUGGGUUGUAAACCUCUUUUCUUAGGGAAGAACAAAAUGACGGUACCUAAGGAAUCAGCAUCGGCUAACUCCGUG
rnacentral:rRNA from 1 species